AUUGAACGCUGGCGGCAUGCCUUACACAUGCAAGUCGAACGGUAACAGGUCUUCGGAUGCUGACGAGUGGCGAACGGGUGAGUAAUACGUCGGAACGUGCCUAGUAGUGGGGGAUAACUACUCGAAAGAGUGGCUAAUACCGCAUGAGAUCUACGGAUGAAAGCAGGGGAUCGCAAGACCUUGUGCUACUAGAGCGGCCGAUGGCAGAUUAGGUAGUUGGUGGGAUAAAAGCUUACCAAGCCGACGAUCUGUAGCUAGUCUGAGAGGACGAUCAGCCACACAGGGACUGAGACACGGCCCAGACUCCUACGGGAGGCAGCAGUGGGGAAUUUUGGACAAUGGGCGCAAGCCUGAUCCAGCAAUGCCGCGUGCAGGAUGAAGGCCUUCGGGUUGUAAACUGCUUUUGUACGGAACGAAAAGCCCCGGGUUAAUACCCUGGGGUCAUGACGGUACCGUAAGAAUAAGCACCGGCUAACUACGUGCCAGCCGCCGCAGUAA
rnacentral:rRNA from 1 species